CCGGAGGGAUGAUGACAGUGAAAGGCCGAAUUGCAGUGUUUUCACCAGCAGUUUGUUCUCAGUGUGCAGCACGAUGACAAAACUCCUUGAAGCGACCAUUAGUCUGACCUCCCA